AUUGAACGCUGGCGGCAGGCCUAACACAUGCAAGUCGAGCGAGCGGCGGACGGGUGAGUAAUGUCUGGGAAACUGCCUGUUGGAGGGGGAUAACUACUGGAAACGGUUGCUAAUCCCGCAUACCAUCAGAUGUGCCCAGAUGGGAUUAGCUAGUGGGGGGGGUAAUGGCCCACCUAGGCGACGAUCCCUAGCUGGUCUGAGAGGAUGACCAGCCACACUGGAACGGAUACACGGUCCAGACUCCUACGGGAGGCAGCAGUGGGGAAUAUUGCACAAUGGACGAAAGCCUGAUGCAGCCAUGCCGCGUGUGUGAAGAAGGCCUUCGGGUUGUAAAGCACUGUCAGCAGGGAGGCGGUACCUGCAGAAGAAGCACCGGCUAACUCCGUGCCAGCCGCCGCGGUAAUAC
rnacentral:rRNA from 1 species